AGAGUUUGAUCCUGGCUCAGAACGAACGCUGGCGGCGUGCCUAACACAUGCAAGUCGAACGUGAUUGAGGAGCUUGCUCCUCAUGAAAGUGGCGCACGGGUGAGUAACGCGUAGAUAAUCUACCUGAUGAUCUGGGAUAACACUUCGAAAGGGGUGCUAAUACCUGAUAAGCUCACGGAGUCCUUGGAUUCUGCGAGAAAAGGGGGGGACCUUUAUCGGCCUUCCGUCAUCAGAUGAGUCUGCGUACCAUUAGCUAGUUGGUAGGGUAAAGGCCUACCAAGGCGACGAUGGUUAGCUGGUCUGAGAGGAUGAUCAGCCACACUGGAACUGAGACACGGUCCAGACUCCUACGGGAGGCAGCAGUGGGGAAUUUUGCGCAAUGGGGGAAACCCUGACGCAGCAACGCCGCGUGAGUGAUGAAGGCCCUUGGGUCGUAAAGCUCUGACAGAGGGAAAGAAAUGUAGAGGGGCUAAUAUCCCCAUUACUUGACGGUACCCUCAAAGGAAGCACCGGCUAACUCCGUGCCAGCAGCCGCGGUAAUACGGGGGGUGCAAGCGUUGUUCGGAUUUAUUGGGCGUAAAGCGCGUGUAGGCGGUUUUUUAAGUCUGAUGUGAAAGCCCUGGGCUCAACCCGGGAAGUGCAUUGGAUACUGGAAGACUUGAAUACGGGAGAGGGCAGUGGAAUUCCUAGUGUAGGAGUGAAAUCCGUAGAUAUUAGGAGGAACACCGGUGGCGAAGGCGGCUGCCUGGACCGAUAUUGACGCUGAGACGCGAAAGCGUGGGUAGCAAACAGGAUUAGAUACCCUGGUAGUCC
rnacentral:rRNA from 1 species